GACAAGAAGAAAAUGACGGUUCAUGAGCUCGUCACCAUGAUUCGGUCGCCGGAGGACAAGAAGGAGAGUAGGGCUCUUCGCCUAGCCGCCAUUAACCCCGAUGGAGACCGAGGAAACAAUUAGGUCGGGACGAGGUAGCUCGGGGGAAACAAUUAGGUCGGGACGAGGUAGCUCGAUAGCUUGCGGCGGAGACGAGAGAAGAGGAAACCGUGAGGAGCGGAAGAGCGGGAGGAUUUCCGGGGACGGUCAUCACCACGACUAUGGUCGCGAGUCUGUG
rnacentral:lncRNA from 1 species